GGUGACAUAAGCGUUUUACUUACCAUUGCCAUUUUGAGUCAUUUGAGCAUUGUGUACGUUGCUCCGGCGCCGUUGUUAAGCUCUGCAUUAACAUAAACAGAGAAAUGUCGAUUCUAUGCGCUGGAGAAGGCGCACCGACUGGACCCAAGCUCCAGCGGCCGUGGUGUUCGUCAGUUCAAGACUGGCCUCCUUCAGAGAUUAGAGAGGGAUAAUAACUCAAGUCUUCCUGCUCGGGUCAAAAAGACUGAUGCUCGGGAAAUUGAGAGCUUCUACAAACAAUACUAUGAGAAAUAUGUUGUGGCACUUAGCAAGGGGGAACAAGCGGAUAGAGCUCAGCUUGGCAAAGCUUACCAGGCAGCUGGAGUGCUGUUUGAAGUGCUUUGUGCUGUUAACAAGACUGAAAAAGUCGAGGAAGUUGCUCCUGAGGUU